CGGCGUUUUGGGGUGAAAAGCGUCGAAAUGGAGGUUUUGGUGAUAGUGGAGAAUGCGGGGGGGUGAAAAUAGCGAUUUUUUGUUCAAUUCCUGGCAAUGGCGAUUUUUGGUGGGUCCCAAAACCACCGUUUUUUGCCCCAAAAUUGUUUACUGACACGAAGUCGUUUUUCCUCCAAAAAACGCCAUUUUGGGGCUCUAAAAUUGCACUUUUUUAAAUGAAAUGAGAAUUUUCGUGUACAGAUUGAGGCGAUUUGGGUCCAAAGUGAGAAAGAAAACCCGAAUUUUGGUGCUAAAACGGUGAAAAAAAGCACUGCUAAAAAUCACCAUUUUCGGUCAGGACGGAUUGAGGGAUUACGGGUUGAAAAAGAGGAUUUUUGGGCAAAUUUCUGCCUCAAAACACACGUUUUUGGUUGGAAAAUUCUCUUUUUGAUGUUUUCCCCUUCAGCCUUUCUUUCAAUUCAAAACUUUGUAUUCUCUUCACAGAAAUUAUGAUUUUUGCAGGUUUUCUUUGCCCAAAAAUGGAUUUUCUGACACAAAAUCGUUUUUCCUCAGAGAAAUGCCAUUUUGGGGCCCUGAAAUUGCACUUUUUUAAAUGAAAUGAGAAUUUUUGUGUACAGAUUGAGGCGAUUUGGGUCCAAAGUAAGAAAGAAAGCCCAAAUUGUGGUGCUAAAACAGUGAAAAUGACCACUGCUAAAAAUCACCAUUUUCAGUCGGAACGGAUCGAGGGAUUCGGGGGCAAAAAAGGGGGAUUUUGGGCAAAUUUCUCCCUCAAAAUACACAUUUUUUUGGUCAUAAAAUUCUCUUUUUGAUAUUUUCCCCUUCAGUGCUUCUUUUGAUUUAGAGGCGUCCAUUCUGUUCACAAAAACUGCAAUUUUUGCAGGUUUUCUUUGCCCAAAAAUGGAUUUUCUGACACAAAAUCGUUUUUCCUCAGAGAAAUGCCAUUUUGGGGCCCUGAAAUUGCACUUUUUUAAAUGAAAUGAGAAUUUUUGUGUACAGAUUGAGGCGAUUUGGGUCCAAAGUAAGAAAGAAAGCCCAAAUUGUGGUGCUAAAACAGUGAAAAUGACCACUGCUAAAAAUCACCAUUUUCAGUCGGAACGGAUCGAGGGAUUCGGGGUUGAAAAAGGGGAUUUUGGGCCAAUUUCUGCCUCAAAACAUGAAUUUUUGGUCAUAAAAUGCUAUUUUCGUGGUUUUCCCCUUCAGUGCUUCUUUCGAUUUAGAGUCUUGCAUUCUGUUCACAAAAACUGCAGUUUCUGAAGGUUUUCUUUGCCCCAAAAUGGAUUUCCUAACACAAAUUCAUUUUUCCUCCGAAAAACGCCAUUUUGGGGCCAUAAAAUGGCAUUUUUUGUUAUAAAACAGUAUUUUUGUGUUCAGGUUGAGAUCAAGGAGAUGAUUUUGGGUCCAAAGUGAGAAAGAAAACCCGAAUUUUGGUGCUAAAACAGAGAAAAUGACCACUGCUAAAAAUCACCCUUUUCAGUCGGAACGGAUCGAGGGAUUUGGGGGCAGAAAAGGGGAUUUUUGGGCAAAUUUCUGCCUCAAAACACACGUUUUUGGUUGGAAAAUUCUAUUUUUGAUGUUUCCAUCUUCAGUGCUUUUUUCGAUUCAAAACCUUGCAUUCUGUUCACAAAAAUUAUGAUUUUUGCAGGUUUUCUUUGCCCAAAAAUGCAUUUUCUGACACAAAAUCGUUUUUCCUCGGAAAAACGCCAUUUUGGGGCCCUAAAAUUGCACUUUUUUAAAUGAAAUGAGAAUUUUUGUGAACAGAUUGAGAUGAUUUGGGGACAAAAUGAGAAAGAAAACCCGAAUUUUGGUGCUAAAACACUGAAAAAAAACACUGCUAAAAAUCACCAUUUUCGGUCCGAACGGAUCGAAGGAUUCGGGGCACAAAACGAGGUGAAAAAAGCCAAAUUUGGGUCUGAAUUCAGACCGUGUCACAGCGGUGAAGUUUUGCAGCUGUGCCAUACGUUCGAAUGGGGCGGAUUUGCCCAAAAUUUGCAUUUUUGGGGGCAAAAAAAGAGCUGCGGUUUCGGCCAUGGGUUGAACCGAAACCCCGAAAUAGCCCCAAAACCGCCUUUUCUCCACCCAAAAUCGGGGCUUUCCGACCCAAAGCUGCACUUUUCUCGCCCACAAUCGCAACCCCACCCCAAACUGUUGGUUUUUCACCCAAACUUUCGGGUCCCACACCCAAAACGUGGUGUUUUUCACCCAAAAUCGGUGUCUCUGCCCGAAAUCAAGCCGGUUUUCCCACUCCAAAUUGAAUGUUUUUUACCCAAAACGGAGUGGUUUUGGCCCAAAAAGGAGCGCUUUUCACCCAGAAUUGAGUGCUUUGGCCCCCAAAUUGUCCAAAAUUUGAUGGUUUUCACCCCAAAUUUUAUAACCCUGACCCAAAAUUGAGAAUAUUUCACCCCAAGCGGAGCGUUUUUACUGAAAUUGUAGUUUUUUCACCCAAAAUUGUGGUUUCUUUUAGCCCAAAAUUGAGUGUUUUGACCCAAAACUGAGCUUUGCUCACUAAAAACUGAGAUUUCCGGACCCCAAAGUUGGCGUUUUUUUGCUCAAAAUUGAGAAUUCCUGACCCAAAAUGGAACAUUUUCUACCGCGAAAUCGAUUCAUUUUAACCCAUAGAGACCCACAGAGACCCAUAGGGACCCAUAGAGCCCCAUAGGGACCCAUAGAGACCCAUAGAGACCAAUAGGGACCCAUAGACAGCAAUAGAGACCCAUAGGGACCCACAGAAACCCCAUAGAGACCCAUUGAGACACAUAGGGACCCAUAGAGACACAUAGGGACCC
ensembl:lncRNA